UUAUGGCUCAGGACGAACGCUGGCGGCGGGCCUAACACAUGCAAGUCGAACGAACUCGACCUUCGGGUCAUAUAGUGAGUGGCGAACGGGUGAGUAACACGUGAGAAACCUGCCCCGAAGACUGGAACAACCCGAGGAAACUCGGGCUAAUACCGGAUACCCCCAUCGGAUCGCAUGAUUUGAUGAGGAAAUGCUCCGGCGCUUCGGGAGGGUCUCGCGGCCUAUCAGCUAGUUGGUGAGGUAACGGCUCACCAAGGCAACGACGGGUAGCUGGUCUGAGAGGACGAUCAGCC
rnacentral:rRNA from 1 species